UGUUUGCCUGGUCCUAAACCCUCCCUUAGAAUAUGCAUUAAGCUCCAGCCAGUACUGCCUCGCCAGGUGGUCUAUCUUUGCUGGAGGACCUUAGGACUGGCCUGUCUAGAACUGGCGGGGAAGAGGAGGAAAGGUCAUGAUCGCUACUUACAGAUAUCUCACCUCAAAUUAAAGCUGCUAAUAUAACUUGACAGAAGGGCCACAAACCUCAGGGAGACUGCAGGUUCAUGAGGGAGAAAUCAAGGAGAAGCAUUUAACAUUGCUACUAAUUUAGUUGUAGGACAAAGUUCCCAGACACCUUUGUGACUAGGGGCAGGUGGAUGGGACUGCCACCGUUGAAGGCUAUCCACUCUGUAACAAGACAUGUAUUAAAGGUGUUAGCAGCUUUUGCACUAAUGCUUCUGAAAACCCUCACAGAGGUACAAAGGCAUUAAACAACUGGGACAACUCUGCAACUUGCACUGGCUUCAAAAGUCUGGGAGAGAAAGAUGUGUGAAGAAGGAAGCUGCCAAGUUCCUAAAUGGGAGCUGUGACUUUAGGCAAUAAAAUUCCACUUCUCCCUUUUUGAAUCUCCUGCCUUGCAAGGUAAAUUCAAAGGAUUGGCAGUGGAUUUUGAAAACUGUUGUGUAGAAAGAGGAAAAAAUACAGCCGUAAUCCAAAGCAAGGAAAUUCAGACACCAAACUGUGCUCUUAAUGGAGAAGUAAUGAAUGUUAAUUAACCACCAAUUGACAAAAAAACAUAUUUACUGUAGUUUAACAGCUCUGCAAA